GUCUCAAGAGUGAACACGUAAUUCAUUACGAAGUUUAAUUCAUUGAGCAUCAAACUUUUAAAUUGAAGAGUUUGAUCAUGGCUCAGAUUGAACGCUGGCGGCAGGCCUAACACAUGCAAGUCGAACGGUAACAGGAAGCAGCUUGCUGCUUUGCUGACGAGUGGCGGACGGGUGAGUAAUGUCUGGGAAACUGCCUGAUGGAGGGGGAUAACUACUGGAAACGGUGGCUAAUACCGCAUAACGUCGCAAGACCAAAGAGGGGGACCUUCGGGCCUCUUGCCAUCAGAUGUGCCCAGAUGGGAUUAGCUUGUUGGUGAGGUAACGGCUCACCAAGGCGACGAUCCCUAGCUGGUCUGAGAGGAUGACCAGCCACACUGGAACUGAGACACGGUCCAGACUCCUACGGGAGGCAGCAGUGGGGAAUAUUGCACAAUGGGCGCAAGCCUGAUGCAGCCAUGCCGCGUGUAUGAAGAAGGCCUUCGGGUUGUAAAGUACUUUCAGCGGGGAGGAAGGUGUUGUGGUUAAUAACCGCAGCAAUUGACGUUACCCGCAGAAGAAGCACCGGCUAACUCCGUGCCAGCAGCCGCGGUAAUACGGAGGGUGCAAGCGUUAAUCGGAAUUACUGGGCGUAAAGCGCACGCAGGCGGUCUGUCAAGUCGGAUGUGAAAUCCCCGGGCUCAACCUGGGAACUGCAUUCGAAACUGGCAGGCUUGAGUCUUGUAGAGGGGGGNNNNNNNNNNNNNNNNNNNNGAAAUGCGUAGAGAUCUGGAGGAAUACCGGUGGCGAAGGCGGCCCCCUGGACAAAGACUGACGCUCAGGUGCGAAAGCGUGGGGAGCAAACAGGAUUAGAUACCCUGGUAGUCCACGCCGUAAACGAUGUCUACUUGGAGGUUGUGCCCUUGAGGCGUGGCUUCCGGAGCUAACGCGUUAAGUAGACCGCCUGGGGAGUACGGCCGCAAGGUUAAAACUCAAAUGAAUUGACGGGGGCCCGCACAAGCGGUGGAGCAUGUGGUUUAAUUCGAUGCAACGCGAAGAACCUUACCUGGUCUUGACAUCCACGGAAGUUUUCAGAGAUGAGAAUGUGCCUUCGGGAACCGUGAGACAGGUGCUGCAUGGCUGUCGUCAGCUCGUGUUGUGAAAUGUUGGGUUAAGUCCCGCAACGAGCGCAACCCUUAUCCUUUGUUGCCAGCGGUCCGGCCGGGAACUCAAAGGAGACUGCCAGUGAUAAACUGGAGGAAGGUGGGGAUGACGUCAAGUCAUCAUGGCCCUUACGACCAGGGCUACACACGUGCUACAAUGGCGCAUACAAAGAGAAGCGACCUCGCGAGAGCAAGCGGACCUCAUAAAGUGCGUCGUAGUCCGGAUUGGAGUCUGCAACUCGACUCCAUGAAGUCGGAAUCGCUAGUAAUCGUGGAUCAGAAUGCCACGGUGAAUACGUUCCCGGGCCUUGUACACACCGCCCGUCACACCAUGGGAGUGGGUUGCAAAAGAAGUAGGUAGCUUAACCUUCGGGAGGGCGCUUACCACUUUGUGAUUCAUGACUGGGGUGAAGUCGUAACAAGGUAACCGUAGGGGAACCUGCGGUUGGAUCACCUCCUUACCUUAAAGAAGCGUACUUUGCAGUGCUCACACAGAUUGUCUGAUGAAAA
rnacentral:rRNA from 1 species